rnacentral:rRNA from 1 species
AUUGAACGCUGGCGGCAGGCUUAACACAUGCAAGUCGAGCGAGCGGCGGAAGGGAGAGUAAUGUCUGGGAAACGGCCUGAUGGAGGGGGAUAACUACUGGAAACGGUAGCUAAUACCGCAUACCAUCAGAUGUGCCCAGAUGGGAUGAGGUAGUGGGUGGGGUAAUGGCUCACCAAGGCGACGAUCCCUAGCUGGUCUGAGAGGAUGACCAGUCACACUGGAACUGAGACACGGUACAGACUCCUACGGUAGGCAGCAGUGGGGAAUAUUGCACAAUGGGCGCAAGCCUGAUGCAGCCAUGCCGCGUGUAUGAAGAAGGCCUUAGGGUUGUAAAGUACUUUCAGCGGGGAGGCGUUACCCGCAGAAGAAGCACCGGCUAACUUCGUGCCAGCCGCCGCGGUAAUUC